rnacentral:rRNA from 1 species
UACGGAGGAUCCAAGCGUUAUCCGGAAUCAUUGGGUUUAAAGGGUCCGUAGGCGGUUUAAUAAGUCAGUGGUGAAAUCUGGUCGCUCAACGAUCAAACGGCCAUUGAUACUGUUAGACUUGAAUUAUUGGGAAGUAACUAGAAUAUGUAGUGUAGCGGUGAAAUGCUUAGAUAUUACAUGAAUACCAAUUGCGAAGGCAGGUUACUACCAAUGGAUUGACGCUGAUGGACGAAAGCGUGGGGAGCGAACAGG